UCUUAUGCUCUUGAAGCACCUGUGCCAGA
rnacentral:piRNA from 1 species